UAGGCUACAGGGACACACACUGAAACACAAGGUUAAUGGGGUGUGUUUGUCAGUUUGUAUGCCAUUUUCCAGUCAGUUCUCAUACAAAAAGUUGAAGUUUCCAAAUUAUACUUUAGAGGUUAACAUGAGACAAGCGAACCAGAUAGGUGUUGAGAAAGGCCCUUUGUCUUGCUGUGAAAUCAUACUGAAUGAUGAUGAUAAUGAUUUUGAUGUUAGUCAAUUUAUACACCUCAGCUCAAGUUUUCCAGAGUACUUUUUCUCUUGAUACGAGUGCAAACUUGAUGGCUGCAUACGAACUGAUGAACACACAUUACAAGGUGUGAAGAAGCAAGUAAACUUACAAGAAAAAAAUUGAAACGUCACUUGAGUAUCGGCGAAACUUCCGAGCACAGAUGGACUUACAAUACAAGCUGCCAAACUAUGAUUGGACACUAGCAAGAUUUUUCAGCGUUGAUGAGAUUAUACCUGCGUCAACAGUAAUAUUAUCACUCUUUCAUAUUGUUUAUAAAAAUAUGACUUACUAUUCUAUUGAAACAUUUAGUGAUCCCCUGUUAGAAAGUAGAAAUAUAUCACAUUUGUACAUGGUAAUAAUUAGAAGUAAUAAUAAUAAUAAUAAUAAUAAUAAUAAUAAUAAUAAUAAUAAUAAUAAUAAUAAUAAUAAUAAUAAUAAUAAUAAUAAUAAUAAUAAUUAUCCACACAAGACAUUUUAGUAAGGUUGAAAAUAGUAAAGCCAGUUUCACACAAGAACAUUUUCUGGCCUCUCUUGGUAUUUUUAUGCCUGCAGACGCUUCUUAACCCGGUAGCAGCAACGGGCCAAAUUUGUGACUUUAGUGUGUACCAGCGACAGGGCAAAUUAUUGGCUUGGCAUAAACCCCCAAAAUAGAGGAUGCAUAAACUGCUAACGUAUGUGCUGAUAUGUUAUAUAAUGAUUUACAUGAGUGAUGAUUUCUCUCAUUAAUUCGCUUAGAGGAGCCUUUAAGAAACAUGAUCCCCGCAGCUACCGGGUUAAGAUAAAUGUGCAGACCAAUGAAUAUGCUUUCUUGUCUAUCUAUCUGUCUGUUGUGUGUAUGUCUGUUAGUCUGUCUGUGCCCCUUUUCUUUAUUUCAUGACUCACAGUGAUACUCGCCUUGCUGAGGUGUCAUGUAUUACUUGAAUUUUGCUUCAUUUGUCUAGUUCUAUGGGCAUGUUCUUCAUACUGUGUCUUAGUAAUCUGUGACACUUUGGUCGGGUAAGUAUCAAGAUGGGACAAAAGAAAGAGAUGUGCAGUGACUAUACAAUUUAAACAAGAGGACUAAGGUAUUAUGUGACACUGAGGUUGGCUAAAUGUCUUAGUGAGAACCAGAAAAAUGCAGUUAUUCUUCAUAAUCUUGAUGACCUGAAAAUGGUAAAACUAGGGAAGUAAGGUUAAUUGUGACACACUUUUGUAAGGUGAGUAAACAGGGAAAGUAUGGUUAAUUGUGACACACUUUUGUAAGGUGAGUAAACAGGGAAAGUAUGGUUAAUUGUGACACACUUUUGUAAGGUGAGUAAACAGGGAAAGUAUGGUUAAUUGUGACACACUUUUGUAAGGUGAGUAAACAGGGAAAGUAUGGUUAAUUGUGACACACUUUUGUAAGGUGAGUAUCAUGGUGAGUCAAAGGAAUGAGGUGCAGAGUGACCCGACACAUCACCCAAAAAUGCUCUCCUACUGGCAGAGCACUAAGAGAUGCCAGAACAUGUGCUGGGUGACGCUGGCCUUGACACAGACAGGAAAAAUAUGGAAAAUCAACAUAAGAAGGAAAAACUGUGCAUAUAUCAACCUCACAAAACCAAAACAUAAGUAUAUAAUAAUUUUGACAAAGGUAAAACAAAUAUAUGCAGUUAGCUUGACACAUUACUGAAAAAAUAAAAAAAUAAAAUAUAAAAGUUGAUAGGAAAAAACAGUGCAAAGACCACAAGAUAUAACUUAGCCAAAACAUGACAAAACAGAAUAUGGAAAAUUAAAUAAACAGCAGAAAAUUAUGUGUGAAAUAUAAAGGAAGGAAAUACACCACAGACCAAGAUGUUAGUAAAACCCAAUAUGACAAAACUGUAGACGGAAAAACAGUACACAGACCAGACUGUUGAUAUACUAAAACAAGGCCGAGCUGCAGAAGAAACGAGAUCAAUGGAACAUGAUGAGAAAAUGUAAA